UACGAAGGGGGCUAGCGUUGCUCGGAUUGACUGGGCGUAAAGGGCGCGUAGGCGGUUCGUACAGUCAGACGUGAAAUUCCUGGGCUCAACCUGGGGGCUGCGUUUGAUACGUGCGGACUUGAGUGCGGAAGAGGGUCGUGGAAUUCCCAGUGUAGAGGUGAAAUUCGUAGAUAUCUGGAGGAACACCGGUGGCGAAGGCGGCAUCCUGGACCGACACUGACGCUGAGGAGCGAAAGCCAGGGGAGCAAACGGG
rnacentral:rRNA from 1 species